ensembl:lncRNA
CGAUAAGUGCGAGUGUCUGUGUGAGUGAGAGUGUGGAACAAGGAGAAAAAGAGCGAAGAGGGGACAGUGAAGAUGUUAGUGGGUGCGACAGAGGGACUGCUGAAGAACCAGCAGGUGCCAUGUGCGAUUGGCCAGCGCACCCCGUGGACGUGGCAUCGCCCUGGAUUUGGCGAGAAGCUCUCCCCGCUGCUUGUUCUCCAGCGCUCCUCCGGGAAGCAUUCGUGGGAUUUAUCUCUUUUCCUGCUGGAUGGCACUGAGCUCUCUGCCUCUCUGAGGAAAAAAGUCCAGAGAGAAGAUACACACUACACGGAGAAGAAGUAAAAUAAUUAUCCAAUCACAGCACAAGAAGGCAGACCAGGUUCCCUUAGCAACAACUGAAGGAGAGAAGAGAAUCCUUCUCUGUUUGUGCUCCCUUGGUUUUUGGGCACACCCCGGAGGACUGCUGUGGGUCAGUGUGUUCUGAGAGGACUUAGAGAGCGCCGUUGCAUAAGACAAGCUGCCACCCAAAUUCCAGGAAAAAAAGGUGCUCGCUUCUCCUUCCAGCCUCCUUUUUAAACUGUGUCUCAUCGACACCAUGAUUUUUUUGUUAUCCCUCCACAAAUUCUCAUCAGGGGUCACGUUUCGCCGGCUUGGAAAUCAAUUCAUCCUGAUCCCGAGCCACCUGGAAUAAGCCCUGCUUUGGGGUGGGGGGGGGGCGCUGAGGUGGGGAUUGGACGCUCUUUGAAAAGACCCACACCUGCCGUCCUCCCUUUCACGGACAGGAAAACAUGAUUAAGUCAUCAUCUGCAAAGAAAAGGGAUGUGAAGCCAAGUUUAUUUUGACGCGAGUUUCUACAGAAAUUCUUUUAUAUAUUUUUUUCCCUCGAGGGGAAAACGCC